CUUCAAUGUACAGAACAAAGCAAAUGAUGGUCCAAUUAUUGUAUUCAUGAAAUAUGCCAAGAUUAAAGCUCAAGGCAAAUAUGCCUUGAACAUUUCAAACACCUGGAGUACUACGAAGCUUUUCAUCAAUGAUGAUGUUCCAGAGAUCAUUGAAUUCAAAAAAUGUUUAGCUGCUGGUAUUGAAAAUGGAACAAUUAAUGCUGUUGCUGAGACUCCAUCUCAAAUGAGAUCUCAAUCAAGUGGAGCAACACAAUUUGUUCC